AAUAUUGGACAAUGGGGGAAACCCUGAUCCAGCAAUGCCGCGUGGGUGAAGAAGGCCUGCGGGAUGUCCAGCCCUUUCGCCUGGGAAGAAAAGCCUGGUGCUAAUACCGCCGGGUCUUGACGUUACCAGGAGAAGAAGCACCGGCUAACUCCGUGCCAGCAGCCGCGGUAAUACAGAGGGUGCAAGCGUUAAUCGGAAUUACUGGGCGUAAAGCGCGCGUAGGUGGUUCAGUAAGAUGGGUGUGAAAUCCCCGGGCUUAACCUGGGAACUGCUUUCAUAACUGCUGAGCUAGAGUACGGUAGAGGGUAGUGGAAUUUCCUGUGUAGCGGUGAAAUGCGUAGAGAUAUGGAGGAACACCAGUGGCGAAGGCGACUCUCUGGUCUGUAACUGACGCUGAGGCGCGAAAGCGUGGGGAUCAAACA
rnacentral:rRNA from 1 species